rnacentral:rRNA from 1 species
UGCGUAGACGGUUAUGUAAGUCGGGUGUGAAAGCCCCGGGCUCAACCUGGGAAUUGCAUUCGAGACUGCAUAGCUAGGGUGCGGAAGAGGGAAGCGGAAUUUCCGGUGUAGCGGUGAAAUGCGUAGAUAUCGGAAGGAACACCAGUGGCGAAAGCGGCUUCCUGGUCCAGCACCGACGUUCAGGCACGAAAGCGUGGGGAGCAAACAGGAUUAGAUACCCUGGUAGUCCACGCCAUAAACGAUGAGAACUAGACGUUGAGAGGGUAAGCCUCGCAGUGUCGUAGCUAACGCGCUAAGUUCUCCGCCUGGGGAGUACGGCCGCAAGGUUGAA